GCCUUCGUAGUGUAAUGGUUGGCACACUCGGCGCGUAUUCGAGAGGUCCAGGUUCGAAUCCCAGCGAGGGCA
rnacentral:tRNA from 1 species